rnacentral:rRNA from 1 species
AGGGUUCGAUUCUGGCUCAGGAUGAACGCUGGCGGCGUGCUUAACACAUGCAAGUCGAACGGGAUCCCAGGAGCUUGCUCCUGGGUGAGAGUGGCGAACGGGUGAGUAAUGCGUGACCGACCUGCCCCAUACACCGGAAUAGCUCCUGGAAACGGGUGGUAAUGCCGGAUGCUCCAGUUGACCGCAUGGUCCUCUGGGAAAGCUUUUGCGGUAUGGGAUGGGGUCGCGUCCUAUCAGCUUGAUGGCGGGGUAACGGCCCACCAUGGCUUCGACGGGUAGCCGGCCUGAGAGGGCGACCGGCCACAUUGGGACUGAGAUACGGCCCAGACUCCUACGGGAGGCAGCAGUGGGGAAUAUUGCACAAUGGGCGCAAGCCUGAUGCAGCGACGCCGCGUGCGGGAUGACGGCCUUCGGGUUGUAAACCGCUUUUGACUGGGAGCAAGCCCUUCGGGGUGAGUGUACCUUUCGAAUAAGCACCGGCUAACUACGUGCCAGCAGCCGCGGUAAUACGUAGGGUGCAAGCGUUAUCCGGAAUUAUUGGGCGUAAAGGGCUCGUAGGCGGUUCGUCGCGUCCGGUGUGAAAGUCCAUCGCUUAACGGUGGAUCCGCGCCGGGUACGGGCGGGCUUGAGUGCGGUAGGGGAGACUGGAAUUCCCGGUGUAACGGUGGAAUGUGUAGAUAUCGGGAAGAACACCAAUGGCGAAGGCAGGUCUCUGGGCCGUCACUGACGCUGAGGAGCGAAAGCGUGGGGAGCGAACAGGAUUAGAUACCCUG